rnacentral:rRNA from 1 species
CGUGCCAGCAGCCGCGGUAAUACGAAGGGGGCUAGCGUUGCUCGGAAUUACUGGGCGUAAAGGGCGCGUAGGCGGACAGUUAAGUUGGGGGUGAAAGCCCGGGGCUCAACCUCGGAAAUGCCUUCAAUACUGGCUGUCUUGAGUACGGGAGAGGUGAGUGGAACUCCGAGUGUAGAGGUGAAAUUCGUAGAUAUUCGGAAGAACACCAGUGGCGAAGGCGACUCACUGGCCCGUUACUGACGCUGAGGCGCGAAAGCGUGGGGAGCAAACAGGAUUAGAUACCCUGGUAGUCCACGCCGUAAACGAUGA